GUGGCGAGUGGCGAACGGGUGAGUAAUGUAUCGGAACGUGCCCAGUAGCGGGGGAUAACUACGCGAAAGCGUAGCUAAUACCGCAUACGCCCUACGGGGGAAAGCAGGGGAUCGCAAGACCUUGCACUAUUGGAGCGGCCGAUAUCGGAUUAGCUAGUUGGUGGGGUAACGGCUCACCAAGGCGACGAUCCGUAGCUGGUUUGAGAGGACGACCAGCCACACUGGGACUGAGACACGGCCCAGACUCCUACGGGAGGCAGCAGUGGGGAAUUUUGGACAAUGGGGGAAACCCUGAUCCAGCCAUCCCGCGUGUGCGAUGAAGGCCUUCGGGUUGUAAAGCACUUUUGGCAGGAAAGAAACGUCAUGGGCUAAUACCCCGUGAAACUGACGGUACCUGCAGAAUAAGCACCGGCUAACUACGUGCCAGCAGCCGCGGUAAUACGUAGGGUGCAAGCGUUAAUCGGAAUUACUGGGCGUAAAGCGUGCGCAGGCGGUUCGGAAAGAAAGAUGUGAAAUCCCAGAGCUUAACUUUGGAACUGCAUUUUUAACUACCGAGCUAGAGUGUGUCAGAGGGAGGUGGAAUUCCGCGUGUAGCAGUGAAAUGCGUAGAUAUGCGGAGGAACACUGAUGGCGAAGGCAGCCUCCUGGGAUAACACUGACGCUCAUGCACGAAAGCGUGGGGAGCAAACAGGAUUAGAUANCCUGGUAGUCCACGCCCUAAACGAUGUCAACUAGCUGUUGGGGCCUUC
rnacentral:rRNA from 1 species